AGAUGAGUCAGGAGGGGCCUCAAAGACCAACCAAAUGAUUAGAUUUUAGGGCUUUGAGCCUCAAAACUGAUAUAUGCCUGACAUCUGAGGAGAGGGAUGGGACUGGAGAUUGAGUUACCAACUCAAAGGCAAUGAUUCAACCAACUCUGCCUACGUAAUGAAACCCUAAUAAAAUCUCUGGAUACUGAAGUUCAGCAGAUGCAUGGGCGCAGGAGGGCGGAGAGGAGCUACUCCACGCAAAGGUCAGGAGGGGCGGCCAUGAGAAGAUACCCCUUGUCCAAGGUAAGGAGCAGCGGCUGUGCUUUGCUGGAGCAGCCAUGAAGAGAUACCCCACGUCCAAGAUCUGGAAACUACCCAACUGACCCAGAGUGAUACCAGGAGCUCAGUGCAAGCACAUGCAGAGGUUCCCCAAAGAUGGGGCCAAUAUCAAGUUUCCACAGGUAAUAAAGCCUUUGUCAUCUGUCAUCAAGAGUCCAUUUCUCCAUCCUUUAAUUCUGGACUGGACUUGUAAGUUUUUUGGCCAAUCAAAUGAACCAGAAAGGACAUCAAGCUGCUACUGAACAGAGAUCUUAAGAAGUCUUGCAGCUUUCUUUGUGUCACUAUCAGAACAGACUGAGUGGAGCUGAGGGGAGAUGGAGACCAUGUGGAGCAGAAAUAAGCAGACCAGCUGAGAUCCAACCACCAGAUGAAUGAAUGAGGACAUCCUAGGCUUUCCGUCCCCAGCAGGGCUGCCGACUACAAAGAUCAGCUGAUUCCACUUAGACCAGACAUUUUGGGCUGUCCCAGUCAUCUCAGUCAACUCACAGAACACGAGCUAGAUAAUAAAUAUUUGUGGUUUUUAGGUACUAGGUUGUGGGACACUUGGAUCAUCUUUUCCUUUUGAUAUAUAAAUUCUAUCACUAUCCUUGAAUAUUUCAGUGUCCGUAUAGAGAUUUUACAGACAUCCUUUAUUAUAUGAUUUGGCUUCUUUGAAGAACUUUAC
ensembl:lncRNA